AAUAGAUACCCCGGUAGUCCACGCCGUAAACGAUGGAUACUAGCUGUUUGAGCGCAAGUUUGAGUGGCUAAGCGAAAGUGAUAAGUAUCCCACCUGGGGAGUACGGGCGCAAGCCUGAAACUCAAAGGAAUUGACGGGGGCCCGCACAAGCGGUGGAGCAUGUGGUUUAAUUCGAUGAUACGCGAGGGACCUUACCAGGGCUUAAAUGUAGAUUGACGUACUUGGAAACAGAUAUUUCUUCGGACAAUUUACAAGGUGCUGCAUGGUUGCCGUCAGCUCGUGCCGUGAGGUGUCAGGUUAAGUCCUAUAACGAGCGCAACCCCUGUUGUUAGUUGCCAGCGAGUAAUGUCGGGAACUCUAGCAAGACUGCCAGUGUAAACUGUGAGGAAGGUGGGGAUGACGUCAAAUCAUCACGGCCCUUACGUCCUGGGCCACACACGUGCUACAAUGGCCGGUACAGAGAGCAGCCACUUAGCGAUAAGGAGCGAAUCUAUAAAGCCGGUCACAGUUCGGAUCGGAGU
rnacentral:rRNA from 1 species